GGGGGCAUAGCUCAGGGGUAGAGCGCUCGCUUCGCAUGCGAGAAGUCCGGGGUUCAAAUCCCCGUGCCUCCA
rnacentral:tRNA from 1 species